GCAAUAGUUUCCUAAAGUGGAUGUGUAGGCUGGUGACAUCUGAGUCAUCUUGAGAACCCCAAAAGCUAUAAUAGGCCCAGGAAUCUGUACUUCGAAUGUUUCUUCAGUUGGUCUAACUCACACAAGAACGGUGAUUCAUCAUAGCUCAAGGAGAUGUGCUGAAGUGUUUGCAUCCAUCGACAGCAUGCACAGGACUAUUGCUGAACUUCAUUUUGUGCUAACUUGAGACUGCCAUGCUGUUAGGAAGUUCAAGUUCACCACAUGGAGAUGAAAUAAGAUAUCAUGAUAAACAUCCCCAGCUGAUCCCAGCCUCCAGUGAUCCAUCAACUACAUAUAUGAUCCUAAGUCACAUGUGUGACCCCGAGCAAGAUCAGCAGAACAAUCACUCAGCCAACCCACAGAACCCUGAAAAAAUAUAAAUCAUUAUAGUUUAAACCACAA
rnacentral:lncRNA from 10 species